rnacentral:rRNA from 1 species
GAUGAACGCUGGCGGCGUGCCUAAUACAUGCAAGUCGAGCGAACAGACGAGGAGCUUGCUCCUCUGACGUUAGCGGCGGACGGGUGAGUAACACGUGGAUAACCUACCUAUAAGACUGGGAUAACUUCGGGAAACCGGAGCUAAUACCGGAUAAUAUAUUGAACCGCAUGGUUCAAUAGUGAAAGACGGUUUUGCUGUCACUUAUAGAUGGAUCCGCGCCGCAUUAGCUAGUUGGUAAGGUAACCGCUUACCAAGGCGACGAUGCGUAGCCGACCUGAGAGGGUGAUCGGCCACACUGGAACUGAGACACGGUCCAGACUCCUACGGGAGGCAGCAGUAGGGAAUCUUCCGCAAUGGGCGAAAGCCUGACGGAGCAACGCCGCGUGAGUGAUGAAGGUCUUCGGAUCGUAAAACUCUGUUAUUAGGGAAGAACAAAUGUGUAAGUAACUAUGCACGUCUUGACGGUACCUAAUCAGAAAGCCACGGCUAACUACGUG